rnacentral:rRNA from 1 species
GACGAACGCUGGCGGCGUGCUUAACACAUGCAAGUCGAACGGAAAGGCCCUGCUUUUGUGGGGUGCUCGAGUGGCGAACGGGUGAGUAACACGUGAGUAACCUGCCCUUGACUUUGGGAUAACUUCAGGAAACUGGGGCUAAUACCGGAUAGAAGCUCCUGCUGCAUGGUGGGGGUUGGAAAGUUUCGGCGGUUGGGGAUGGACUCGCGGCUUAUCAGCUUGUUGGUGGGGUAGUGGCUUACCAAGGCUUUGACGGGUAGCCGGCCUGAGAGGGUGACCGGCCACAUUGGGACUGAGAUACGGCCAAGACUCAUACGGGAGGCAGGAGUGGGGAAUAUUGCACACUGGGCGGAAGCAUGAAGCAGCAACGCCGCGUGCGGGAUGACGGCUUUCGGGUGGUAAACAGCUUUCGCCUGUGACGAAGCGUGAGUGACGGUAAUGGGUAAAGAAGCACCGCCAAACUACGU